CUGGAUUGCCACAAAGAGAAAAAAGAGGUUUUAAACCAUCUAAGAAAGGGAAAAGUUCUGUCACUCAGCAAGAAAAACCAUAAAAGUCCUUUUGAGUCUUCUGAACAAACGCGUCUUUUAUGUUUCUGGAAUAUUUAAAUAUUUAGCUCAGAAAUACAAUAAAAUUAUGAGGUUUCAAAUAAACUUCACUAAGUUCUUCUUACAUAAGAUGUUAAAGUUAUGAAAGGAGCAAAGAGUUUAAUUGAAAUGGUUUUGUCAAAUAACUUCCCAGGUCAGGAUUUACUCUGUAUGAUUAUCACAGUGAUAAUGAAUAAAAUUACAAUACAAGACCAAAUAAAACAUUUUGUUUAUAGCAAUUAGAUUAUUUUUAUCAUUAAUGUGAACAAUUGAAAAAUGAUUGCUAUUUGGUUGCUUUGUUAGUUUAGAGUUGAUAAUGGUAGAAUGAGGCAAGAUGGAAAAGAUGCACCAUGAUUAUUGUGAAGGAAUUUGUCACUUUUACUUAUGUUAUGAUUGCAUUGUAGUGUAAAUGUGUGAAAACUGUGCAUAAAGUACUUUUAGGAAGUAAAACGAGUGUGCAAACAGUAGAACUGGCAGCACUACUCCAUCCAUAGGACUGAUUGUCAUGUUCUGUGUCCCUUUGUUCCCCAGCCCCUCCAGUUCCCACUCCAGGUUCUCCUUUUGUGCUUCAUAGCGCCCUCAUGUGUCCUUUGUCUGCAUCUCAUUUAUGUGUCUCCUGUGUUCCUUUAGUCUUCUCCAGUCAUCCAUCUGCAGUGUUUAUAGUUUCAGCAUUUCAUUUUUAUUAGUCUCUUUAAUAUGUUUUGUCCCACCGGUUUUUGUAGUUCUCCUUCCCUUUAGAAUUUUAGUUAUAUGGUUGCUUUUCUGUUUUUAGGUUCACUCUUAGGUCAUGUUAGUUUCUUCCCCGAUUAGUCAUUGCUUUCACCUGGUCCUCCCCCCACACUCCACACAACUGCAGCUCAUCUGCCUCCCAUUAUGCCCCAGUGUAUUUAAGCCCUGUCUUGUCUCUGUGUCUUGUCGGUCCAUUGUUGCUGUUUGUGGUAAUUCUGUCAGUCUCUCGUUCCUAGUCUCUAGUGUUUCUCGUGUCUCAGUUGGAUCUCUAGUUUAUUUUGGAUUUUGGACAUUUUUGGACUUUGGCUCCCUGCCCCUGGAUUUAUUCUUCGUUUCAUCCUUCAAAAUUAAAGGAUUUUACUUUACAUCAUCUCCUGCCUCGUGUCAUCCUGGGUUUCUGCAUUUUGGAUUCUAACAUCCCUCCAAAACGUGACACUGAUUGUGUUUGUUGCACACAGAAUAACCCAGCCAGAACUUCUUAAAUGGAACCUAAACAAAGGCACUCAUAUUUAAAUGCACAAGACAAGAAGAUGACCAAAGAAGAACGUCUCCUCCCACAUUCCUCCAAACGACGGUGGUUUUAAAAUGUGGCCCAGAGAGGAUAAGAAGUGAAGGAAGUGAGCAGCGCAGCCUGCAGUUCUAGAAGAUGACUGAUGUUGGCGUUUCCUGUAGAGCGGCAACAGCUGGUGCCACUCAGCAACAAUCACCGGCUGGGGAUAUAAGGAGCAGUGAGAUGCCAACACUUCGUUGGAUGAUUAACUCCCUUUGGGUUUUUCUACGACCGCCUUUCGAGCAUUGCUAUCAGCAUCUCAUUUUGUGUCUUUUGAGUUUCCCGCUAAUCAAGAAACCAACACUAUCGUCUCAACUCCAGCCAUAACUCCCUCACCAGCAUAUCCAUACCCGUCUCCAUCAGGUCCCCUGCUUCACGAGUUAUCCAGCAAAACCAAAUAAAGAAAAGAUUAUUUUACUAACCUUAUUUUUUUGUCCCAGCCCUGAUUCUGCAUGUCCUGAGUUAGAAGACUACACCACAACAUGACAUG